GGGCAUUUCACUCAGUGGUAGAGCAUCUGCUUUGCAUGCAGGAGGUCCUGAAUUCAACCCCCAGCAUCUCCA